UGUAGGUUUUGGCAUCUGCUAAGACAACAAGUCUCUUCAGAACAGACUAAAGGAUACUAACUGUUGGAGCUCCAGCCACCAUGUAGGAAGUCUGGCUAUCCCGAGGCUGCCUUGUGGAGAGUCUACAUGGAGUGAUGACAUAUGGAAAGAAAAAAACAGCCCCAUAUCCUCCACUAACCAGAUGUUUGCAUCAUUCCAGCCCAGGCAGUGUAGGCAACCGACAGAAGAAUUCUGCGGACAGAAUUCAGGCCACUGCAGCUGUAGCUGUACACAGGCAACUGGCAUGUCUGGAAAAUCGGAUGGUAAUUCUGAUUCCAAGUUAGCAAACGUGGGACUCCCUAUCAUUUGAAUCAAUGAGCAUAUUUUCAUUUUUGGCAUUAAAGAAAUCCAGGCACAACAUUAGCAUGAUAGGUAAGUGAAGCACAAACUUCCAUUAUUUUACAACAAAAUAGACCCAAAGAUUUGGGGCUUUGGGGAGGAAUUUUUCAUUUCUGAAUUGCACAAAAUCAUUUAUAAUUACCUCUUAGUGACUUCAGUAUCACAAAUCCCUUCUGAUUAGCCCUCUUUAAAAAAGAGACGAACCUGCUUUAGAAUUGUUUGGCCCUGUUGGAAGCCCUGUCUUAGAGAACGACAGAUUAUGUAAUUAAGUUGAAUCGUGUAUUUUCCAUAGAAACAAGG